GACCGCGUAGCUCAAUUGGCAGAGCAUUGGGCUAGUAUUCCAAAGGUCGUAGGUUCGAAUCCCACCGUGGCCA
rnacentral:tRNA from 1 species